GCAGUGCACGAAAACGGGUGCAAUGACAACAAGUGAAAGUAAAAUAUUUAAGACAGAUAAUCCAUUGACAACCAAACAGCCGGGGGAAGCAAACAAGAAAGGUAAGUCCUUCAGUAGCUAAUUGAAUACAGUACCCACAAUAAUUGCACAGUGCACUUUCAACUGUUGAAGCCGAGGUUUGAGUUUUAAUUUGGAAACUGUAUCAACACAGAUCAAGUCAUCCAUAUUGUGAGUUCAGGUGCAAUUUCUGUUUUCUCCUUUGUGGUCCAUCUGAAUAGCAUGCUGUAGUUAAGAUACCUACCAUCAGGUUGCAUUAUAUAGGAAGUUUUAUUUAUUAUUCUGGAUUCACACUUGAGCAUGGGUACCUCCAAGACAGCCCAGGCCUAUAGCCUGCAAAAUGCAAUUUCCUGUAACAGAAAUUUUUAUUUGUAGAUUUCUGUCAGAACCAGCAACAGCCUAAAUGCCUGUGUUCAUGACCACCUGAUCAGGAUAGCAAUACAUUUUACUCUAUCCCACAUGGCAGUCAUAUUAAAUAAAAUACUGAACAACGUGUAUUUAUAAAGAUAGUAAACAUGAUAAAUCGCCCGAACUGCGGAAAGCUGUCGUGCGAAGUUAGUGGCGAUAUCCUUUAACGUGUUCUACACAGUUUGUGACGGGGUGGAAAUCCCAUUUCAACAUGGGUGAAAACUACAAACCGCCUGCUUGCCAACACUCGAAGAACAUCUCAACUAUAAUGUAGUGCAGCUUUUAUUAUUCUUAGCAGUUUUCAUAAGCAAUGCCAUAUGAUAAACACGGUUGACUGUAUUAGCUUGGAUAGUUACAAUGCUGAUAUUAAUAUGAACGUGAUGCAUUAUAGUAAACCAAGUGGUGAGCUGCCGCAAUGUUGUUUUCCAAAUGAAAGAGUGGGCCUUUAACUGCCAUCCCAAUUCUAUUCUCUCUACACCGUAUGAGCAUACUGGCUCUAAAAGGAGUCUCUGGGGAGAAAGCGGAGGUGGGCAGUGCCUACAAAGAAAUGUCACUCUGAUGGAAUUGACAUUUACAAUGAAGCUGGAAGCCAAAUCCAGCAGGAGAGACCAGUCUCACCUGUACCCAGCUGUCUGUCCAUGCAAACAGACAUGUCUAUUGAUCCUCCGUUCAACUUCAUGACAGAAAAUAUAUCUACUGAUCAAAAGCCUUUCUGCAGCAGAGACCAGUUCUGUCCACGAACAGUGACCAGUCAAUGGGACAUCAAGAACACUUCAGGGAUGGGAACACUGGGCAUGCGGCUAAGUUUUCUGCUGACAGGAUCCAAGAGGAGAGAGCCAAUUCUCCUGGACCAAGCUUUGAGUCCUUUAAGAGUGACUGGUCAAUGGUUCAUCCUAAAACACAAUUCGGGUAGGAAGGCAUUUCUACUGAUCAAAGAGACCUGCAAGAGAGAUCGGAGUCAGACAUUCCCCGUGGCCGGUCCACGGCAGACAUGUCCUCCAUAUUCAAGUUAGUUGAAGACCAAGUCAUCACAUUUGUAAAGAGUUAAUUGAAGAAGUUCAAGAAGAUUCGGAGUCCAGAUCACCCAGAAUGCUCUAACAGUCAGGGGAAGGGUGGUGGUGUAUGGUGAAGAUGAGAACCAGGAGAGCAGUGCCAGAGAGGGGGCUCUGAAGAUCACACUGCACAUCCUGAGGAACAUGAACCAGAAAGCGCUCACUGACACACUGGAGAACAAUCUUUUAGGUGAGCUUGCUGUGUGUCAACCUAAACUCAACUUUAACAAAAGGAAGUUUGAAUGCGUGUUUGAAGGAAUGGCUACACAAGGAAACCCAACACUUCUCAAUCAGAUCUACACCGAGCUCUACAUUCACAGAGGGUGGAAGUGGAGAGGGCAAUAAUGAACAUGAGUUUAGACCCUCCAGUCCAGCAGAGCAGCUUCACUCCUGAAUUCUGUGUGAACCAUGAUGCAGAACGCUGGAUAAAAUCUGGCCUAAGAAAAUGUGACUUAAUUUCUCUUGAAAGCUACAAACACAAAUGAUUCAAUGCCUGUGAGCCAACACUGGACGCAAACACGGCACACAGAAAACUCUGUCAGAGGGGAACAUGGGGGAGAGAAGAGCAGCCGUAUCCUGAUCACCCAGAGAGAUGUGAGGGCUGUUGGCAGGUGCUGUGUAAAGAGGGUCUGAAUAGGCGCAGUUAUUGGGAGUCGGAUCGAAGAGGAAAUGGGAGUGACAGAGAAACAUCGGCAGAAGUGGAGUUUGACUGUUGGCUUCGACGUAAUGACAAGUCCUGGAGUUUGCGAUGCUCUGACAACAGUUGCGUCGCCUUCCAUAAUGCUAGGAGUAUUGCUUUACCUGCUCCCUCGUCUUAUUCGAACAGAGGAGUGUAUCUGGACUGGCUGGCACUCUGUCCUUCUACAGUGUCUCCUCUGGUACACUGACCCAUCUGCAUACAUUCUACUCCACAUUUUCUAACCCUCUUUACCCAGGGUUUAGGGUUGGGAAUGAUGAGUGUGCCCGUGUCAGGUAGAGCAGCCUCCAAUUUGAAACUCAGGCCAGAAUUCCAUCUAGUUGAUUUUGGCAUUGCGGUGUUAGAAGUACGUUCACGUUGCAGUGCAACGUGUUCGCUCCAGACUUGAUACUCGAUUUAGAAAUCAGUAAUCCCAUACUACCUGGUUUUAGUGGAAGCCCUGGUAGGAUGUUGAGUUACCCACCCUCCCUUCUAUUUUUAUCUUGAUAAUUCAUUGCAGUCACGCAGAUUUUAAAUCUGUGACACACUGCUGUGCAAAUCAAACACAAUUUCAGUGACCUUAAAUAAAAUGGCAUUUAUUUAUUUUUCUACUCUGCUUUACCUACAGCAAACAACAUUUUUGGUUUUGUUGAAUUUAGCAUCCUGAGUGAGAGAAUUUGUAUGUUUUAUCUGGAAUAAAAAUCUAAGAUGUGCCCAGA